CAGGGUCAGCUCCAUGAAGUUAUGCCAGCUGAAUGUCACUGUACUGCUGGAGUCCCUGGCUGGCCAUUUCCUGUUUAUAGGCAAUGCCUUUGGAUAUACACAAGCAAGGAGUGACUUCCAAGGACCUUACCUGUUAGUAGUUCUCUUGACACUUGGAAAGAAAAAUGUGGAAGGUCAAGAAGAGAAGAAAAGCUUUGAGAAAUGGUGUGGGUCUACCAUCCUCAAAUUCCUGCCGAGUACCUGAAUGAAUGCAUUAGCCCUGCAUCUGUUGCUGGAAGCUCCUCCUUGGUCUCCUUCCAGAGGGAUAUAAUUUUGUCACAUGGGCACUGUCCACUAAGCCAGCCCGAACAGACGAUGGGUUGUGUGACUGUGUACAUGGGCAAGGGCCUCGGGAGGAAUUUGAGGCUGUGGUACACAGUGACCCCAAAUGGGGAGAGAUUUCCUGGAAACUGAACUUCAGCCGAAACCCAGGAGUUUAAAAAAGGUGCUUUCAGGAAAGACUUUCUUUGCUUCACUUUGGCCAAUGCAACUUAUGACCUCUGGCUUAUAUAUCCUUAAAAAAUUCUCCUGAGAGCAUCAGAAGAAAGUAGAGGAACAUGAAAAACUAUUAUAGAAGCCUUUUCUCAGAAGAUCUGGAUUCAAGUUCUAGCUCAACUACUUAGCAACUUUGUGACCUUCAGUAAAUCUCUCUGCCUUUCUCUGCAAUCUAAGGGUGGGGGUAUCUGUCUCACAAAGUAUUCUAUGGGUUAAAUGAGGUGAUGGAUGAAAGUAAAUUGUGACACACCACACAAGUGUAAGACAUUAUCAAUAUAAGAUGUAGAUAGGUAAGCUCGAAAGAGACAAAGCAAAAGACUUUAUUUUGGACUUUGAAGUAUUGAACUGAAAUGAUGAAUGCAUAUAUGAAUCACUUCUUAAGAACCUCUAGAGAUAUUGUCCCAAGCAUGAUUUUAUUAUUCACCUCUCUAAUUCUGUGUGCUAGUUACUAUUCUCCCCUUAUAUAGAUGUGGAAAAAUGCUCAGCUGGGUUACUCUGGUUAUAUUUCUACCAGGUGGUAGAAUCAGGAUUCAAACCCUGGUCUGUAGAAAUACAUGGCUUGAUAGCCUGCCAUUGUAACCACAGUUCAAUGCUGAUUCCCUUCCAGCUAUUUAUGAUAGAGAUGGUGCUCCCAGGAAUUCUAUGAAAUAUCUUGGGAACUCCUGAGGCCAGUCUAAUGCUACCACCACAGGUCCUGGUGGCUAAUGUUGUGAGAGAGACUUAUAGAAACUUCAAGACUCAGAGCAUCAGAUAGUAAGAGGCAGCAUGCUUUGAGUGCUUGCUGUAAGCCAGACAUAGCUCUAAAUAAUAUUUCUGCAUUGCUUAUUUAAUCCUUCAACCCAACAAGGUCAUCUGUUCUUUAAAACUGUCCCCAUUUUGUGAAUGAACUAACUGCAGUGCAAAGAGGCUAAGUAACCUGCUCAGAGCUUGAGAGGAAGAAGAGGAAUUUGAACAUGGGCAGUCCGGCUCCAGAGACCCAUGUUCUUAACCUCUACACUGUGUCUCUCAUGGUCUGUGAGAUGAAAGCAUAUCUGCAGAGUACUUGGUUCACAUUACUUGAUCCUAAGCAGUAGCCUUCAGUGUCAAUGUCAUUGUUUUCAGUUACCAUUUGCAUGUGCAGAAAACAUCCACAUGCAGUGUCUCCAGGGUCACGAGAUGCUGAAAAUAAAUCAUGUAGAAAAUAUGGCUAAAUAAAUCAAUCCUGUUUCCUUGCCUUUUCAGCUUCGUAGGAAGCCAUCUGAGAAGAGCAGAAUAAGUGUGGCCUUUGGGGGGGAGACUUGGUUACAUCAGAUAAAAAAAAUUAGCCAGGGCAGAGGGUGACCUUAGGCAGGUA